rnacentral:rRNA from 1 species
GUUCGGAUUGCAGUAUGCAACUCGAGUGCAUGAAGCUGGAAUCGCUAGUAAUCGCGGAUCAGAAUGCCGCGGUGAAUACGUUCCCGGGUCUUGUACACACCGCCCGUCACACCAUGGGAGUCGGGAAUGCCCGAAGCCGGUGGCCCAAUCGAAAGAAGGGAGCCGUCGAAGGCAGGCCGGAUGACUGGGGUGAAGUCGUAACAAGGUACC